rnacentral:rRNA from 1 species
AGCGAACGCUGGCGGCAGGCCUAACACAUGCAAGUCGAACGGAUCCUUCGGGAUUAGUGGCGGACGGGUGAGUAACACGUGGGAACGUGCCCUUUGGUUCGGAACAACUCAGGGAAACUUGAGCUAAUACCGGAUGUGCCCUUCGGGGGAAAGAUUUAUCGCCAUUGGAGCGGCCCGCGUCUGAUUAGCUAGUUGGUGAGGUAACGGCCCACCAAGGCGACGAUCAGUAGCUGGUCUGAGAGGAUGAUCAGCCACACUGGGACUGAGACACGGCCCAGGCUCCUACGGGAAGCAGCAGUGGGGAAUCUUGCGCAAUGGGCGAAAGCCUGACGCAGCCAUGCCGCGUGAAUGAUGAAGGUCUUAGGAUUGUAAAAUUCUUUCAGCGGGGACGAUAAUGACGGUACCCGCAGAAGAAGCGCCGGCUAACUUCGUG